rnacentral:rRNA from 1 species
GAUGAACGCUGGCGGCGUGCUUAACACAUGCAAGUCGAACGGUGAAAGAGAGCUUGCUCUCUGGAUCAGUGGCGAACGGGUGGGUAACACGUGAGCAAUCUGCCCUUGACUCUGGGAUAAGCGCUGGAAACGGCGUCUAAUACCGGAUACGAGCUGCGAAGGCAUCUUCAGCAGCUGGAAAGAACUUCGGUCAAGGAUGAGCUCGCGGCCUAUCAGCUAGUUGGUGAGGUAACGGCUCACCAAGGCGUCGACGGGUAGCCGGCCUGAGAGGGUGACCGGCCACACUGGGACUGAGACACGGCCCAGACUCCUACGGGAGGCAGCAGUGGGGAAUAUUGCACAAUGGGCGCAAGCCUGAUGCAGCAACGCCGCGUGAGGGACGACGGCCUUCGGGUUGUAAACCUCUUUCAGCAGGGAAGAAGCGCAAGUGACGGUACCUGCAGAAGAAGCACCGGCUAACUACGUGCCAGCAGCCGCCGUAAGAC